rnacentral:rRNA from 3 species
GGUCAAGCUACAAAGGGCGCAUGGUGAAUGCCUUGGCAUCAGGAGCCGAUGAAGGACGUGAUAAGCUGCGAUAAGCUUCGGGUAGGCGCACAUAGC